rnacentral:rRNA from 1 species
CAGUCGCCACGGUAAUACGGAGGGUGCAAGCGUUAAUCGGAAUUACUGGGCGUAAAGCGCACGCAGGCGGUCUGUCAAGUCAGAUGUGAAAUCCCCGGGCUUAACCUGGGAACUGCAUUUGAAACUGGCAAGCUAGAGUAUGGGAGAGGAUGGUAGAAUUCCAGGUGUAGCGGUGAAAUGCGUAGAGAUCUGGAGGAAUACCGAUGGCGAAGGCAGCCAUCUGGCCUAAUACUGACGCUGAGGUACGAAAGCAUGGGGAGCAAACAGGAUUAGAUACCCCUGUAGUCCCUGUCUCUUAUAC